UACGUAGGGUGCGAGCGUUAAUCGGAUUUACUGGGCGUAAAGCGUGCGCAGGCGGCCCGUUAAGACAGGUGUGAAAUCCCUGGGCUCAUCCUAGGAAUUGCGCUUGUGACUGGCGGGCUCGAGUACGGUAGAGGGGGGUGGAAUUCCUGGUGUAGCAGUGAAAUGCGUAGAGAUCAGGAGGAACACCGAUGGCGAAGGCAGCCCCCUGGGCCUGUACUGACGCUCAUGCACGAAAGCGUGGGGAGCAAACAGG
rnacentral:rRNA from 1 species